rnacentral:misc_RNA from 1 species
GAAAUGCGAUAAGUAAUGUGAAUUGCAGAAUUCAGUGAAUCAUCGAAUCUUUGAACGCACAUUGCGCCCGCCAGUAUUCUGGCGGGCAUGCCUGUUCGAGCGUCAUUUCAACCAUCAAGCCCCGCGCUUGUGUUGGGGACCUGUGGCUGCCGCAGGCCCUGAAAACCAGUGGCGGGCUCGCUGUCACACCGGGCGUAGUAGAUUUUAUCUCGCUCAGGGCGUGCUGCGGGUUCCGGCCGUUAAAAAGCCUUUUUUACCCAAGGUUGACCUCGGAUCAGGUAGGAAGACCCGCUGAACUUAAGC